UUCCGGUUGAUCCCGCCGGAGGCGACCGCUAUUGGAAUUCGAUUAAGCCAUGCGAGUCGAGAGUCUUAGGGACUCGGCGUACCGCUCAGUAACACGUGGGUAACCUGCCCUGUGCUGGGGAAUAACCUCGGGAAACUGAGAAUAAUGCCCCAUAGUUCACCAUGCCUGGAACGGUUGGUGGAUCAAAGCUCCGGCGGCACAGGAUGGGCCUGCGGCGUAUCAGGUCGUAGGGGGUGUAACGUACCCUCUAGCCUUCAACGCGUACGGGUUGUGGGAGCAAUCGCCCGGAGAUGGAUUCUGAGACACGAAUCCAGACCCUACGGGGUGCAGCAGGCGCGAAAACUUCACACUGCAGGAAACUGUGAUGAGGGAAUUCCAAGUGGCUAGACAAAGUCUAGUCUUUUACCAACUUUUAAUCGGUUGGUGAAUAAGGGGUGGGAAAGACCGGUGCCAGCCGCCGCGGUAAUACCGGCACCUCAAGUGGUCGUCGCUUUUAUUGGGCCUAAAACGUCCGUCGCCUGUUUGGUACAUUCGUGGGUAAAUCAAGCCGCUUAACGGCUUGAAUUCUGCGAGGACGGCCAGACUAGGGACCGGGAGAGGUAUGGGGUACUCUCAGGGUAGGGGUAAAAUCCAGUCAUCCUGAGGGGACCACCUGUUGCGAAGGCGCCAUACUAGAACGGAUCCGACGGUCAGGGACGAAGCCUAGGGGCACGAACCGGAUUAGAUACCCGGGUAGUCCUAGGUGUAAACGCUGUGGACUUGGUGUUGGGGAUUCUACGAGUAUCCCCAGUGCCGGAGUGAAGAUGUUAAGUCCACUGCCUGGGGAGUACGGUCGCAAGGCUGAAACUUAAAGGAAUUGGCGGGGGAGCACAGCAACGAGAGGAGCGUGCGGUUUAAUUGGAUUCAACGCCGGA
rnacentral:rRNA from 1 species